GACGAACGCUGGCGGCGUGCUUAACACAUGCAAGUCGAACGGAAAGGCCCUGCUUUUGUGGGGUGCUCGAGUGGCGAACGGGUGAGUAACACGUGAGUAACCUGCCCUUGACUUUGGGAUAACUUCAGGAAACUGGGGCUAAUACCGGAUAGGAGCUCCUGCUGCAUGGUGGGGGUUGGAAAGUUUCGGCGGUUGGGGAUGGACUCGCGGCUUAUCAGCUUGUUGGUGGGGUAGUGGCUUACCAAGGCUUUGACGGGUAGCCGGCCUGAGAGGGUGACCGGACACAUUGGGACUGAUAGAAGGGCGAGACGACUACGGGAGGCAGCAGUGGGGAAGAUUGCACACGGGGUGGAAGCCUGAUGCAGCAACGCCGCGUGCGGGAGGACGGCAGUCGGGUGGUAAACAGCGAGCGCCGGUGAAGAAGCGGGAGGGAGGGGAAUGGGUAAAGAAGAACCGGCUAGCCAAGUG
rnacentral:rRNA from 1 species